CUUGUUUUUUGACUUUGCAGGAUUUAGAGCAAAGCUACAAAAUGGUUGGGUUAAUGGGAGAUCCUCAGAGGACCAUGGUGGUAGCUAGUGUAGAUGAGCAUCCAUCAGAUGGCAGAAUUCAGCUUCUCAGUAGCUAUUUCUCUACAUUUGAUUUUCCUUAUUGGAAGAGCUAACAUGCGCCCCUGAGCUGUUACUGUAAGUAGAGGGGGAUCUACACAUGGGUGAGCAUUCUGAAAUGAUGAAUCCAUUGCAUCACUGAUAGCAGAUUGAAGACUAAAUUUUGCAAAGCUCCUUCUGUUUUUUUUAAUGUGAACACUUACCUGAAACUAGACUUGCACAAAAGCAAAACUGCUAUUUCCAAGUGCAACGAAGUUAAAGCACAAGAUCUCAAGUCUGACUUCUGCACAGCAGCGUUCAAAAGUGGAAUGAGGCCUUGAAGAAGAGGGAUAAACAUUAGAAAAGGCCAUAUGGACAUUAAAGAUCAAGUACCCAAAGACUUCUGGUUCAAAACAAAACUGUAUCUUGUUGAAUUUGUAGAUUCUUAGUAAAUUAGGACAACAUGUCCCAUUGAAGACAAGAUCUUCUGCAUAAAUCUCACUGAAGGUAACCUAUUUAACAACUCAAAGUUCUAUUGUGUGGUUGUAAUACUUUAAUAUCUAGAACACCUCUGGAAAUCGGGACCUCAAAAGACUACAGGAUUUAUUUGACCUGUCUAGAGUCACAAACAAAUUUAGAUCACCAUAAGAAAAUGGCAUUAUUCCCAUAUUUUCCAGUACCUGAAGAAAUCCAGUUAGGAGUGAGGCAGCAAGAUCACUCUUCAAUGCUGCUGGUCAUAUUCAUCAAGUCAUUAAGUUUGCUUUUACUACCUAAAGAAGAGGAAAGACUGUAGUAUCCGAAGGCAAGUUGAUGAUUUUCUUAAGGAGAGAAACUUGAUAAUCAACUGGUUACGGAAAAUCUGCCCGCUCCUUUAAAAUAAACUUUUUUUUUUUUAAAAAGUAGUUUCAUGUGAGAGAUAAUGGGACUGAAGUUCUGUCAGAGCUCUGCUUGAAACAAAAAGUUACCCUAGGAUGAGGUUAGGCUGCAUACUUAAAAGCAAGCAAAUAAAUCUCAAAGC
rnacentral:lncRNA from 1 species